GCACCUCCCUCCCAACCCACAUUGGGGACAGGACCGCGCCGGUCUCUCGCUCUCACCCUCUCUUCGUGUCAGUUUCUUCCUCAGCUCCUUCCCGAGCGGCCGGCGGCGCGGUACUGGAGCAGAUGUGAGCGUCGUUGUGCGGGACGACACCGACCCACGCACAAGGCUCUCCCUCGGCGCAAGGAGAACCAGGCAGUCCUGCUCAUGUUCCAUCGGCUGAGCGCCUAGCUGAAGCCCCUCCACCCGGCAGUUGUCACGUGGACAUCAUGCCAGACCUCAGCCUGCUCCUUUAUCUCCUGCUACUGCUCUUUGGCUCCCGCGCAGAUCCAUCGAUGCAGGAAGAGGAUCCAGACUUUAAUAGAGAUGAAGCCACAGGUUACGGGCCGGUGUUUGAGGAGCAGCCGGUGGAUACCAUCUACCCCGAGGAGUUGCUCGAGGACAAAAUCACCAUGAGCUGCCGGGCUCGAGCCAGUCCACCUGCCGCAUACAAAUGGAGGCUGGAAGGUGUAGAAAUCGACCUGAGCGCUGACCACAAACACUACACAUUGUCGGAAGGCAACUUGAUCAUCAGCUUCCCCGUUAAAAACCAACAUGAGGGGAGGUACUCCUGCUUGGCCAGCAACAAGUUCGGGACGGUCGUCAGUCGAGAAGCGUCGGUCCAGUUUGGAUAUUUGGACCUUUUCUCAUCGGAGGAAAGGGAGUCUGUGUAUGUCAAAGAAGGACAGGGGGCGGUUCUUCUCUGUGCUCCUCCUCCACAUCAUCCAGCCGACCUGUCGUUCCGAUGGAUCUUCAAUGAGUUCCCCACUUUUAUCUCGCUGGACAAAAGGCGCUUCGUCUCGCAGAUAACGGGCAACCUUUACAUCUCCAAAGUGGAGGCCUCGGACAGCGGCAACUACUCGUGCAUCGCGUCCAGCUCCUCCAUCUCCAAGAGUGUCUUCUCCAACUACAUCCCGUUGGUUCCCCUCAGAGAACGUUCAAUCAGGAAGUAUCCGGCUGACCUCAACGUCAAGUUCCCGGACACCACCACUCUGGCAGGGCAAAACAUCACUUUGGAAUGCUUUGCUUUGGGAAACCCCGUCCCAGAGAUCCGCUGGAGGAAAUUGAACGGAGAGCUGCCCCCCAAUCAUGAGGUGCGCAUGGCGGGGGCUCACCUGCAUCUGUACAACGUGCGGCCGGAAGACGGCGGCUCGUAUCAGUGCGAGGCCGUCAACUCCAAGGGAAAGGACUACCACAGCGCCCAUUUGUCCGUGGAAGCUUUUCCUGUAUGGGUGGAGCACAUCAGCAGCGCAGAGGCAGACCUCGGCAGCGCCUACGCCAUGUCAUGCUCAGCCAGCGGCAAACCCGAACCACGCGUCCGCUGGCUGAAGAACGGAGAGCCGUUGGACAGGAACGAGAUGACGUUCAGCAGCUUGACGUUUGAAGACUCCGGGAUGUACCAGUGCAUCGCUGAGAAUCCUCACGGGGUCAUUUUUGCCAACGCGGAACUGCGUGUGUUCGACUGCGCUCCCACCUUCGAACACAACCCCGUCAAGCAUGCCCUCGCUCCGAGAAACGGCCGCGUGGUGAUGGAGUGUCGACCCAAAGCCGCCCCCAAGCCCAAAGUCUUGUGGAGCAAAGACACCGAGCUGCUGUCCAACUCCAGCAGGAUGUUCAUCUGGGAGGACGGCAGCUUGGAGAUCCUCAACGUCACUCGCACGGACGAGGGCAAGUACACCUGCUUUGCCCACAACGACAGGGGCAAGGCCAACAGCACGGGCUCUCUCACAGUAACAGACUCCACAAAGAUCACCUUGGCCCCCUCCAACGCUGACGUCAAAGUGGGCGAAAACGCCCGGAUGCAGUGCGCCGCGUCACACGACUCCUCCCUGGACAUCACCUUCAUCUGGUCCCUGGACGGCCGAGUCAUUGACCUCGACAAGGACAGCCAACAUUAUGAACGCAGCCCGAAUGGAAGCUCGGAUGGCGAGUUGAUGAUCAAGAGCGCGCAGUUGAAGCACGCCGGGAUUUACACCUGCGCGGCACAGACGACGGUGGACAACGUCACCUCCUCUGCCAGCUUGGUUGUAAGAGGACCCCCCGGCGCCCCGGCGGGGGUGCGAGUGAUGGAGAAAAGUGACAAGAACGUCACGCUGCGGUGGAGUCGCGGCGCAGACAACCACAGCCCCAUCUCCAAAUAUACCAUCCAGUACAGGGACGCCUUCUUUCCGGCCGCGUGGAGGAACGCCACCACAUCUCCACCAGACGUUGAAGGCAACGCCGAGACGGCCACCGUGGUGGACUUGGUGCCCUGGACUGAGUACGAGUUCAGGGUGAUGGCCACCAACACAUUGGGCACGGGUGACCCGAGCGUCCCCUCUCGCAAAGAGAAAACCCUGCCCUCAAGUCCUGUGGUGGCGCCCUCAGAUGUGGGUGGAGGUGGCGGCGUGAACAGAGAACUGACCAUCACGUGGACGCCUGUCCAGGAGCAGUACUACUACGGGCCGAACUUUGGUUACAUCGUGGUCUUUAAACCUCGAGCUGGCGUCGAGUGGACACAGGUGAUCGUCUCUGACCCGCAGGCCAAGCGCUACGUGCACAAAGAUCCGUCCAUCGCUCCUGCAACCGAGUUCAUCGUGAAAAUCCAAGCGUUCAACAGCAAAGGGGAGGGACCCUACAGUCAGCCGGAAACCAUUUAUUCCGCGCAAGACGUGCCCACUGAUGCUCCUGGAAGCAUUGACGGGAAAGCGCUUUCUGCCACCGAAGCUGUUGUGUGGUGGUUCCCCAUCACGCAGAGCAACAUAGACGGAUACCAGGUGAAGUAUUGGCGAAAAAAAGAGGACAGUGAAGGUGGAGCCCACAGAGUGGUGGUGUCCGGCAGGGAAAACCAUACCAGAGUGGACGGAAUGAAGCCCGACUCCCUUUACCUCAUAGAGAUCCGGGGCUAUAAUUCUGCAGGCUACGGGCCGGCCAGCGAGCGCCUCGAGAUUCACACCAAGAAACCACCUCCAAGUCAAGCCCCAAGAAUCAUCGGUAAAAAAUUCAAGGGCAAGUCGGUAAACGUCGCCUGGGAACACGUGGCGACGAUGGCCAACGAGGCACCGGUAGACGGUUACAAAGUGCUGUACAGACCCCAGGCCCAAUCCACAGGCACGCUGUACAUGACCAGUCGGCGGCACAUUGAACUCCCCCUCUUUGAAAACGAGACCUACGUGGUGGAGGUCCGAGCGUAUACCGAGGGUGGCGAUGGAGCGGUGUCCCAAAUCUUCAUCACGGGAGGAAGUGUCAUGGCCGCCCGGCCUCUCAGCACCCUCGGCCUGCUAAGCCCCAAGAAUCAUCGGUAAAAAAUUCAAGGGCAAGUCGGUAAACGUCGCCUGGGAACACGUGGCGACGAUGGCCAACGAGGCACCGGUAGACGGUUACAAAGUGCUGUACAGACCCCAGGCCCAAUCCACAGGCACGCUGUACAUGACCAGUCGGCGGCACAUUGAACUCCCCCUCUUUGAAAACGAGACCUACGUGGUGGAGGUCCGAGCGUAUACCGAGGGUGGCGAUGGAGCGGUGUCCCAAAUCUUCAUCACGGGAGGAAGUGUCAUGGCCGCCCGGCCUCUCAGCACCCUCGGCCUGCUCCUGGUGGCCAUUCUCUGCCUGAACCUCUGAAUGUAGCGACAUCUUUUGUCUUCAUCUCCACGUGAAGGACCCUCUUUUACGGUUGACAACCUACUUUGUAGAAGGACUUUUUUGGGACUCUUUCCACAAUCGUCGUUCGGUUCCACUCAUUCCAACUCUUCCCCUUUUCCGGAAGAUUCUUUUGGGAAUAGACGGAAACACACGGAAAUGGGCAAUCCCGUAUUUAUCCACCAAAAGCCUCUUUGGAGGUGUAUCAAAGGAGCUCUGUCGACUUUUUGAAAAUAUGCCUUAUGUAAAUGUCUGCACUUAUCUUUCACAAGGAUGUCUUUCAAAGCACAUCGGUCCUUGGACAACUGUUUUUUUUUUUUCUUUGAUACAAACAAAAUAAUCCCCCGAUGCACCCCCCUAUACUUUUGAGCUCAACAAUAAUCUGUGAAGGAUAAGUGCACGCGUUUGCGAGUAUCUGUACACUGUACAUGUCUUUCUUACCUGCGCUUCAGCUCCGUUUCCGCGUUUGUUUUCGUCGCAAAAGUGAAGCAGAGCCCCGGUUAAAGCGGAUACAGUCAAAGCAAAGCUCAACCCGCCCCAACUUUUGACCGACGUCUUCGGGUCAAGGCCGUAUUUCCUUAUGUAGUGGCCAGAGAUGCCGAGAGUACCGGGCUUCUAUUAGGCGUAAGGCAUUUACUCGGAGGAGGGCUUUAAGUGUACAAAUUAACCUUUAGAACAAUAAUGUGUAUAUUUCUAAUCACAUUCAAAUAGCGAUACUCGGUAAUUUAAAUGCUAUUUAUCAGAUUAAAUAUAUAUCGUAUAAUAUUUCGCUUUCUUUCCCCCUCAAUUCUGUUUAGCAACAUUUGAUGGGGAGGUCGUUGUUCAGCUUUAUGGCGGAGGGCGUUUAUUGGGGGCGUGGUGUUUUGGUGUUUUCAUUUUUUUUGGAGUGGACGAACAAUUUCUGUGAGCGUUAAAGCUACUAUUUGAGGAAAUGCGGUACUUUAAUGAAUUCUAUGCUGCCCCCUUUUCCAAUUACAAUUCGGUAAAGCUCUUUUCUGUUCCCAGAUGAAUGGGCUCCCGGGUGCACUAAGAAAGGCCAUUUUUUAUUUUAUUGAUUUCAAAUUGUACUUCCCGUAGGUGUAUUGACCAUCUACUUUUGUCUUUCAAGUGUACUUAAGAGUUGCAGAAAAUCGUCUGCUCUUUGAACGUCGGCAAAGUUUCGGCUGAGAUGAACGAUACUAGCCACGGAGGUUUAUCAAGCGAGUCCUCAGCCACGAGCAGAGAAGGCUCUCAACAUGCUGACACUGCCAAACAAACUGUUUGCUGUAACGCUACCAAGUGGAGAAGCACAAAAACAGAUGCCUUGGAUUGCAGAGCGAGCGCGGACAUUAUUAUCAACACAGGAAAAGUCAUCUUCGGUCCUGGCAUGUGACUCUUGAGUGACGUGAAUUUAUGACACGCAAGCGCUUCGAAGGCUUUGUUUUGGAUGAGAGCCACUCGCUUUAGCAGCUAGCAGUUUUAACAACUGGGACGGAAUCGACCGAGCCGAUAGCUCGUAAAGCUUGUCGUUCGGUCGUGUUUUGCGUUCGGAAGAAAACUGGAUUGGCCGAUUGCUUGAGACUGAAGCUAAUGCAAGACGCUGACCAUAUCUCCAUGUUUGUUGGCUCAAACUGUUUUUGCUUUGGCUGUAUCAUGAAAAAAA